rnacentral:rRNA from 1 species
CAUGCUUAACACAUGCAAGUCGAACGGCAGCAUGGUAGUGUGCUUGCACACUACUGAUGGCGAGUGGCGGACGGGUGAGUAACGCGUAGGAAUCUACCCUUAAGUUGGGGACAACCCGGGGAAACUCGGGCUAAUACCGAAUAGAAACUCUUAGGCGGACAGCUGGGGACCUGUGAGGGCCUGGAGCUUGAGGAGGAGCCUGCGUACGAUUAGCUAGUUGGUAGGGUAAAGGCCUGCCAAGGCGACGAUCGUUAGCUGGUCCGAGAGGAUGACCAGCGACACUGUGAUUGAGAUACGGCCCAGACUCCUACGGGAGGCAGCAGUGGGGAAUAUUGCACAAUGGGCGCAAGCCUGAUGCAGCGACGCCGCGUGAGGGAUGACGGCCUUCGGGUUGUAAACCUCUUUCAGCACCGACGAAGCGCAAGUGACGGUAGGUGCAGAAGAAGGACCGGCCAACUACGUGCCAGCCGUCGCCGUAA